rnacentral:rRNA from 1 species
CUUGGGUCUGACACCAAAUCACCCGAAUGUGCCCAACCCCAUCUAAGCUCAGAAGCUAAGCAGAGUUGGGCCUGGUUAGUACUUGGAUGGGAGAGAAAAGGACUUGGGCUGAGAAAAUGACACAGGCCUAAGA